rnacentral:lncRNA from 1 species
CUUAUCACUGUAGCUUAGAGCUCGGGUGCUCUAUUUAUAGCAUGGGGUGGUCGGUUUCGCGGCGGUCGUGGAUAAGAUCGCCGACGCGACUCCUCUGUAUAUGGGGCGACAUUGUGAUGUUCGUGAAUGAUGCAUGAGCUUGUGGACAAAGGGAGCACUGCUCCAGGGGUUGAGCUGGCGAGCUGCGGGUGCUAGGGCGGUUCUACCAUGGUAGGGACGGAUGCUGCCGGUGGCUAACUGCAAAGACGGCUACAGUGGCAUCUCUGGCGCGCAGGGGAGGGGGGUUAGAUAUGCUAACAAGCGCGAAGGCACCACUGGCUUGACACUGCCGGUGAGAGAAAAGUCACGGGCACUGGGUAGGUGGACGCAAUGCCUCGGG